rnacentral:tRNA from 1 species
GCGCCCGUAGCUCAAGUGGAUAGAGCAGCGGCCUUCUAAGCCGCGGGUUGGGGGUUCGAGUCCUCCCGGGCGUACCA